rnacentral:rRNA from 1 species
GUGGGGAAUAUUGGACAAUGGGCGAAAGCCUGAUCCAGCCAUGCCGCGUGUGUGAAGAAGGCCUUUUGGUUGUAAAGCACUUUAAGCGAGGAGGAGGCUUACCUGGUUAAUACCUGGGAUAAGUGGACGUUACUCGCAGAAUAAGCACCGGCUAACUCUGUGCCAGCAGCCGCGGUAAUACAGAGGGUGCAAGCGUUAAUCGGAUUUACUGGGCGUAAAGCGCGCGUAGGUGGCUAAUUAAGUCAAAUGUGAAAUCCCCGAGCUUAACUUGGGAAUUGCAUUCGAUACUGGUUAGCUAGAGUAUGGGAGAGGAUGGUAGAAUUCCAGGUGUAGCGGUGAAAUGCGUAGAGAUCUGGAGGAAUACCGAUGGCGAAGGCAGCCAUCUGGCCUAAUACUGACACUGAGGUGCGAAAGCAUGGGGAGCAAACAGGAUUAGAUACCCCGGUAGUCC